rnacentral:rRNA from 1 species
UGAAAUCCGGAGGCUCAACCUCCGGCCUGCAGUGGGUACGGGCAGACUAGAGUGCGGUAGGGGAGAUUGGAAUUCCUGGUGUAGCGGUGGAAUGCGCAGAUAUCAGGAGGAACACCGAUGGCGAAGGCAGAUCUCUGGGCCGUAACUGACGCUGAGGAGCGAAAGGGUGGGGAGCAAACAGGCUUAGAUACCCUGGUAGUCCACCCCGUAAACGUUGGGAACUAGUUGUGGGGUCCAUUCCACGGAUUCCGUGACGCAGCUAACGCAUUAAGUUCCCCGCCUGGGGAGUACGGCCGCAAGGCUAAAACUCAAAGGAAUUGACGGGGACCCGCACAAGCGGCGGAGCAUGCGGAUUAAUUCGAUGCAACGCGAAGAACCUUACCAAGGCUUGACAUAUACGAGAACGGGCCAGAAAUGGUCAACUCUUUGGACACUCGUAAACAGGUGGUGCAUGGUUGUCGUCAGCUCGUGUCGUGAGAUGUUGGGUUAAGUCCCGCAACGAGCGCAACCCUCGUUCUAUGUUGCCAGCACGUAAUGGUGGGAACUCAUGGGAUACUGCCGGGGUCAACUCGGAGGAAGGUGGGGAUGACGUCAAAUCAUCAUGCCCCUUAUGUCUUGGGCUUCACGCAUGCUACAAUGGCCGGU